CUUGCACGCUGGCGGCAGGCCUAACACAUGCAAGUCGAGCGGAUGAAGGGAGCUUGCUCCUGGAUUCAGCGGCGGACGGGUGAGUAAUGCCUAGGAAUCUACCUGGUAGUUGGGGAUAACGUCCGGAAACGGGCGCUAAUACCGCAUACGUCCUGAGGGAGAAAGUGGGGGAUCUUCGGACCUCACGCUAUCAGAUGAGCCUAGGUCGGAUUAGCUAGUUGGUGGGGUAAAGGCCUACCAAGGCGACGAUCCGUAACUGGUCUGAGAGGAUGAUCAGUCACACUGGAACUGAGACACGGUCCAGACUCCUACGGGAGGCAGCAGUGGGGAAUAUUGGACAAUGGGCGAAAGCCUGAUCUAGCCAUGCCGCGUGUGUGAAGAAGGUCUUCGGAUUGUAAAGCACUUUAAGUUGGGAGGAAGGGCAGUAAGUUAAUACCUUGCUGUUUUGACGUUACCAACAGAAUAAGCACCGGCUAACUUCGUG
rnacentral:rRNA from 1 species